UACGGAGGGUGCAAACGUUGCUCGGAAUCAUUGGGCGUAAAGCGUGUGUAGGCGGUCUGUUAAGUCGGGUGUGAAAGCCCUGGGCUCAACCCAGGAAGUGCAUUCGAAACUAGCAGACUUGAGUACGGGGGAGGGUCGCGGAAUUCCCGGUGUAGAGGUGAAAUUCGUAGAUAUUCGGAAGAACACCAGUGGCGAAGGCGGCUCACUGGACCGGUAUUGACGCUGAGGUGCGAAAGCGUGGGGAGCAAACAGG
rnacentral:rRNA from 1 species